GAUGAACGCUAGCGGCAGGCUUAAUACAUGCAAGGCGAAGGGGCGGUAACGUCACUGUCGUACGGGUGCGUAACGCGUAUGCAACCUACCUAUCACUGGGGGAUAGCCCGGGGAAACCCGGAUUAAUACCGCAUAAAACAGGGGCACCGCAUGGUGAUAUUUGUUAAAGAUUUAUUGGUGAUAGAUGGGCAUGCGUUCGAUUAGCUAGUUGGCGGGGUAACGGCCCACCAAGGCGACGAUCGAUAGGGGAGCUGAGAGGUUGAUCCCCCACACGGGCACUGAGAUACGGGCCCGACUCCUACGGGAGGCAGCAGUAGGGAAUAUUGGGCAAUGGAUGCAAGUCUGACCCAGCCAUGCCGCGUGCCGGAUGAAGGCCCUCAGGGUUGUAAACGGCUUUUAUUCGGGAAGAAGAGCAGGGAUGCGUCCUUGUGUGACGGUACCGAAUGAAUAAGCACCGGCUAACUCCGUGCCAGCCGCCGCCGUAAUAC
rnacentral:rRNA from 1 species